AUGGCGGCGGGCGCGGCGCUGGAGGCCGCGGUGCGGGGCGGGCUGCGCGCCCUCCGCGAGCGCUGGGCGCGGGGCGCCCGCGGGCCCGCGCCGCCCCCGGACGGCGCCGAGGCGCUGAGCGCCCUGCAGACGCUGCCGAUCGACGUGCAGCUGAACAUCAUGUCCUUCCUCUCCCCCCAAGAUUUGUGCCGCUUAGGAAGCACGAGUUGUUACUGGAGGGCAGCUGUGCAAGACCCGUUGUUAUGGAGGUAUUUUCUCCUGCGGGAUCUCCCCUCUUGGUCAUCUGUUGAUUGGAAAUCACUUCCAGAUGAGGAGAUUUUUAAUAAAGCCUUUUCGGAGGUCAGCGACAAUGCACUGUAUGAUUACAUGGCAGUAUAUAAAAGGAGCUGUCCUCAGGGUAGAAGAAGUUUGAAAUCGAGCCGUCCCCGGUAUGGGACUGUGACUUCCUUUUUGCAAUCACUGGUCACUCAGGCAGAACCUCGCUUUGCUAUGUUUGGGCCAGGUUUGGAACAGCUGGACAGCUCUUUGGUGCAAAAGAUGAUGACAUGCCCAGAAAUUCUGCUGGUAGCUGGCCUGCCUCAUAGACAAAUUCAUGGAAUUGGAUCAGGAGUCAGUUUUCAGUUUAACAACAAUCAAAAAUUCAAUAUUGUGACAUUGUAUUCCACAACAAGUGUGGAAAGGAGGAGAGCAAGGGAGGAGCAAGCUGUUGCUGUGAAUAAGAUGUUUUACCAAGAGAACAGCGCAGAAGGGAACCAGCAAGCCAUGCACUACAGUGUCAUAGCUCAAGUGAGGAAGGUGUGCGAAGUAGUUGAUGGAUUCAUUUAUGUUGCUAAUGCAGAAGCUCAUAGAGAACACGAUCGUCAGGAGGAGCUGGCUCGUAUUUUGGCAAUGGUUGAUCCAGCCCUUGGGCCUCCCAACAGACCUCUGCUCAUUUUGUCCUGUGUGUCUCACGUUGGUGUGAAAAGAAUUCCAUGUGUUUACAUGGCACAUCAGUUGCAACUAAAUCUGCUGCAUCAGCCCUGGAUGUUUUUGACAGAUCAGUUUUCUACCUGAGGAUGUGAGGUCCUGAACCUGGUUUUUUAUGUUUGUCAAGCACAGUAUCUGUUAGCAUGGUUCAGCCACACAGAAUUAAUUUUUGUUGAUGUUGUGUAGCUGAGGAAUAACUUAAUCAGAAAAAAUCCUGAUUUGAGAUGCAGGACACUGUAGCUGCAACUUUAGAUGGAUUGCUAAAUGGAAUUGAGUGGCUCUUGGAAGAAGCAAAUUGUAAAAGUGCUCAGUAGUAGGAUUAGGCAUUGUUGCACUGUAUAAACCUUUUGGGGUUUUCCAUUUCACUUGAAGAAAGAAUCUUGUCCUUCCUGCCAGACUACUGUCAGAAGGGAAAACUGAUAAGGCAAACGUGCGUAUAUUUCACUGCACAUACUCAAAUUCUUAACAUUUUUCCAACUAUAGUCCUGAAUUAGAAAUACAAGUGGGAUUGCCUCGAUUCUAGCUGCGAUAAAGAAGUGAUUUGGAGGGACAAUCUGAAUGUUUUGAUUUGUUGUUUUUCUCUCCUUUCAACCAGAGGCCUUUAGAGUACAAUCUUUUCCAAUAUAUCUGAUUGGUCAAAUAUCUUCUGUAAAUAAAUAUGUAACACUACAUUAAUGUAUCAGCACAGCCGUAUCACACAUUUAGCAAACAUAUUCAAGGGAGAUCUUUACAGUGACACUUCCUGACCAAAGAAAACAUACUGUAGGUUGUACAGUAGGAGGCUGACAGAAAGACAGUACAGAGAAGUGAGUUCCCCUGUAUUUUUCUACAAAAAAUGCCUAGAUAAAAAAUAGUGGGGGGAAUUUUCAGCCUAGACCAAAUUUCUUAGAAGCAAACAAACACUUCUGCAUAUGAAUUGUUGUUUCUUUGUUGUGAUCUUACUUACUAACCAACCACAACAGACUUCAGCAUCUUUAGCUUUCUGUUGCACUGAAGUCAUUAGCUUGAACUGGAUAUGCCUCUGAUUCCAUGAAGAAAUGUUAAAUAGGAUCAUUCAGGACUUUAUUGCACACACACAGACUAUCAAGUUUCCCAAAUAGUUGUGGCCAUUUGCAGAUGUGAAUUAUACCUGUCCUGAAAUUUUCUACACAGUUGCAAAUAGUUUUAUGAAAAGCAAAGCAACAUUUUAAAGCUGGAAUUGUGUUCUCCAUAUUGAUGUCUUUCAGGUUGUCUUUUCAUGUUUUUAUUAUUGGGUGAAUGUUCAGAAACUUCACUUGGAUUUCUUGCUGGGGCAUUUAUUUUCUUUAUUCUGGACUUUUUUUUCCUUUUCUCCUAUUAUCAUAGAAAUUCAGGUAUCUCACAAUUUUUUCAUGGUACUUAGAUAAAUGAUUGCAUAGCACACAUACAGCUGUAACUGCCCUCAGUGUGGAAUACUUGAGUGAUGAUCAACACAGCCAUGUCAGAAACAUUCCAUGUGAGAAGAUGUUUGGGAUUUUUUAAUGAACUAGAAAGCAUUAAAAUCCAUUUUUUUUUUCAUCUUUAUGCACAGUUAAUCCAUUUUCCCAGAUUUUUUUGGUAUGUCCUAAUCAGGGACACAUGGGAGUUUCAAGGGAUAAUCCAAAGGAACAUUACAACGAAAAUUCUGUGCUUUAUCUUUUCUUUUUUUUUUUUUUUAAUAGUGUAAGUUUUGCCCUUUAAAAUAGAGCAGACACAACAGAUUUAUGAGUGUUUGGGAUAAAAUUCCGUGCUUUGUGACUGGGUGUAUGUGAUUUUCCUCCUAAUCACACGAAUUUUGUAGUGGUCUAUAUGUAGGAGAUUGAAUGCAGCAACCUGAUUCUGUGUUAGUUACUACAAAUAUGGAGGGGUUAUGGAAGAUCCUCUUUCUACUUUCUUCAUAAGGAAUAAAUAAUUUUAAAAAUAA